GCGCAUCUGGCCACGCGCGCACGUGGACACGGCGAGAGAGUUCGUUGCGAUACCGUUGCGACUGAUGCUGCUGCUGCUGUACACGGAGACACAAAGACAAAGAUCCCCCCGUGGAACCUUAACAGACUGUUGGGGCAAGUGCUGUUAGCGAGCACCUAUCAAGGCUGGAACGGCACACGACGGGUGCUGGUGUUGACAUCACACAACGGUACUCAGUGGAGGCUGCGUCGGCCCACAGGGACCCAGGAAAAAGUUCUGGUACCACUCGCCACUGACGUCAGCCGUGGGAAAGAAUCGACGUCGGUGUGGCCGCGUUCAUCAGCGGCGAGUGACACCUCAACAGAAUGCGGCAGCAGCAGCGACGGGCAGGCGGGCGGGAGGGCCUCGAUGGCGGAGAGAGCAG